rnacentral:rRNA from 1 species
GACGAACGCUGGCGGCGUGCUUAACACAUGCAAGUCGAACGGAAAGGCCCUGCUUUUGUGGGGUGCUCGAGUGGCGAACGGGUGAGUAACACGUGAGUAACCUGCCCUUGACUUUGGGAUAACUUCAGGAAACUGGGGCUAAUACCGGAUAGGAGCUCCUGCUGCAUGUUGGGGGUUGGAAAGUUUCGGCGGUUGGGGAUGGACUCGCGGCUUAUCAGCUUGUUGGUGGGGUAGUGGCUUACCAAGGCUUUGACGGGUAGCCCGCCUGAGAGGGUUACCGGCCACAUUGGGACUGAGAUACGGCCCAGACUCCUACGGGAGGCAGCAGUGGGGAAUAUUGCACAAUGGGCGGAAGCCUGAUGCGGCAACGCCGCGUGCGGGAUGACGGCCUUCGGGUUGUAAACCGCUUUCGCCUGUGACGAAGCGUGAGUGACGGUAAUGGGUAAAGAAGCACCGGCUAACUACGUG